AGAGCUCUCCAGAACCCCGCCGCCAACUCGCAGGGCCACCACUCCCAAGUCUUAGCGACACCUCCAAAGAUGGGCCACCCGCUGCUGCAGCCACACCAGGCAGCUGCUUUUGGAGAGGAUGAAAAGCGAGCCCAACAGGACACCCUGGUGGUGACACAAAUAAAAAUAUGAUUGCACACCAGCCCCAGCAAUGCAGCAAGAGAUGUAAGGAGCUAUCAUCAACCCGAAGAGGAAGUGGUGGACCAGCCCUGCCUGAUGUGGAGAACGGGGUACACGUGUCUGCCAGUCUGUCUGAAACGGGGGAUUCCAGACCUCAGCUGAAAGUUUAGAGUGGCCUUUUCACCCACGAGGGAACUCGAGGAAGCCUGGCACGGGUUGGCUGCUUCUGCUCACAUGUGACCACCGUGGCUGCCAGCACCAAGUGCAAAGGACCUUCUGAUGGCCAGCACCCACCACCUUCAGACUGCCUCGCCUUCCACCACAGACUUCCGAUUCUCGGGGAAAUCAUCUGAUUGGCUCGGCCUGAUUCAGAAAAUCUGUGCCCAGCUGAGGCACGCUGCCUGGCCAGAAUUACUUCUUCUCCUGUCCUGCCAGGGAUCCUCCUGUAGUUUAGAAGCUGGUCUAAAGGCAGCUACCCCUCGGAGCUCCUGGAUUCCCUUCGUCUGCAGUCAGUCCCCACUGUUCACCGUGGUUGUGUUCUUUAAAGCCUCCGCAAACACUGAAGGAGCAAACACUGAACUCCUGCUCCCAGAGAAAACAGAGGCUUAGGCUCCUGCAAGCCACGGGAAACAUUUCUCAUUAACUGCUCAAUAUGUUAACUGAUCAACUCUUUCCACUCAAGGAUACCUUCUGUAGCCAAAAAGGACCUGCUGUAUAACCCAAGGAACUCCACCCCAAAUUCUGUGGGCAAAGAACCCGAAAAAGAAUGGGUGUGUGUAUGUGUAUAACCGAGUCACUUUGUUGUAUGGCAGAAACUGUCACAGCAUUGUAAAUCAACUGUACUUCAGUAAAACUUUAAAACAUGAAAAGAAAAAAAAAAAAAAGAUUCACCCAUAGGAUAAAGAAAUAAAGAUGCCUUAUUCCCUG
rnacentral:lncRNA from 1 species